AGACCAGACUCCUACGGGAGGCAGCAGUGAGGAAUAUUGGUUAAUGGUCGGGAGACUGAACCAGCCAAGCCGCGUGAGGGAGGAAGGUACAGAGUAUCGUAAACCUCUUUUGUCAGGGGACAAAGACUGGGACGCGUCCCCGGAUGAGUGUACCUGAAGAAAAAGCAUCGGCUAACUCCGUGCCAGCAGCCGCGGUAAUACGGAGGAUGCGAGCGUUAUCCGGAUUUAUUGGGGUUAAAGGGGGGGCAGGGGGGCAUGUGACGACGAGUGUGACGCCCGGGGCCCCCGCCCCGGCCCGCCGUUGAAACUGGCAGUCUCGAGUUGGAGAGAAGUAUGCGGAAUGCGCGGUGUAGCGGUGAAAUGCAUAGAUA
rnacentral:rRNA from 1 species